AAGUCGUAACAAGGUUUCCGUAGGUGAACCUGCGGAAGGAUCAUUAUUGAAUACACUUGGUUAGAUUGUUUGCUGGCUUUUAUGAAGCAUGUGCACAUCUAAUCCAUUGUUAAACCCUUGUGCAUACUGUGUAGAUCUGAAAACAAUUUUGAGCCGCUAAAGGGCUCAGUCUAGAAAUUGCUGUGUGUAUAGCUUUAUAUUAUAAACCAGCUUUGUCUUGUGUUUUUUCUGGUCUAUGUCUCUAUAUAAUAUCCAAUUAUUGUAUUUUUGAAUGUACAAAUCAGGCACUAUAUUAUGUCUUGAAAUAAUAUAACUUUCAACAACGGAUCUCUUGGCUCUC
rnacentral:misc_RNA from 1 species